rnacentral:piRNA from 1 species
UUGUUAUACAGAAAAAAUUGU